UUUAAGCCCGAGGUUAAGCUGCGCCAUCAAUUAGCGCCGCCGAUGGUUAGCGUUAUCGGCGACGAGGCGAGUCAGAUGACCAAAAAGCUGCCGUGUUCCAUCGAGCAGGCCUCGAGGAAGAUGAUGAUGAAACAGUAACGCAACAGAGCUAAAGACACUCCAUCACGCGCCCUCGUUUCCUGCAGGACAGAGGGAAGGAGGGUGAUGACGUGUAAACAAUCCCGAUGGAACCGAAGCAACGAAUUCCCGCCGCGGACUCCCGAUGGCAGACGCGUGCGGGUCUAGACGGCGGCACAGGACGUCAUCGGGCGUCACUCCACACCUGCAUCGCGCUCAGGUCUCUCUCACAGUCGGAUCGGAUUAGUAUAAAACCCAAACGUCCCGUCCUGCAGGAAGGAAGCGUCGAGUCGAGUCGCGCUCUCCUCGUUAAUGUUUGAUGAAGAAACUCGAGCGGCAUGAAAACCCCACCGGUCUGCUGACUCUCUGUGGCACCGAGGAACGCUGAAAAUCUCCCGCUCUUCAUCCAGACGGACCUGAGACGGGCCUCGUCCCAAAUCGGGAGUGG
ensembl:lncRNA